rnacentral:miRNA from 9 species
AGUGGAGAAGUUUUAUCUCAUC